UACGAAGGGAGCUAGCGUUGUUCGGAAUCACUGGGCGUAAAGCGCACGUAGGCGGAUUUGUCAGUCAGGGGUGAAAUCGCGGGGCUCAACCUCGGAACUGCCUUUGAUACAGCAAGUCUUGAGUUCGAGAGAGGUGGGUGGAAUUCCUAGUGUAGAGGUGAAAUUCGUAGAUAUUAGGAAGAACACCGGUGGCGAAGGCGGCCCACUGGCUCGAUACUGACGCUGAGGUGCGAAAGGUAGGGGAGCAAACAGG
rnacentral:rRNA from 1 species